GCCGAAGUGGUGAAAUUGGUAAACACGCUGUCUUGAGGGGACAGUGGGGAGGUUCCUCUUGCCGGUUCGAGUCCGGCCUUCGGCAC
rnacentral:tRNA from 1 species